AACGAACGCUGGCGGCGCGCUUAACACAUGCAAGUCGAGCGGACCCGCAAGGGUUAGCGGCGGACGGGUGCGUAACACGUGGGUAAUCUGCCCUGGAGAGUGGGAUAACUCGCCGAAAGGCGAGCUAAUACCGCAUGAGCCCACGGCUUCUUCGGAAGCUGAGGGAAAAGGUCGCAAGACGCUUCAGGAUGAGCCCGCGGCCCAUCAGCUAGUUGGCGGGUAACGGCCCACCAAGGCGAAGACGGGUAGCUGGUCUGAGAGGACGGCCAGCCACACUGGAACUGAGACACGGUCCAGACUCCUACGGGAGGCAGCAGUGAGGAAUAUUGGACAAUGGGCGCAAGCCUGAUCCAGCCAUGCCGCGUGCAGGAUGACGGUCCUAUGGAUUGUAAACUGCUUUUGUACAGGAAGAAACACUGGUUCGUGAACCAGCUUGACGUACUGUAAGAAUAAGGAUCGGCUAACUCCGUGCCAGCAG
rnacentral:rRNA from 1 species